rnacentral:lncRNA from 1 species
GCAAGAUUUUUACGUAUGUAGAUGGCAAGAUGAACAAAGAGAAAAAAUAGACGAAAAGCGACGUGUCGUUGAAAUAACAGUAUAUCAUUUCAGUAACACUAUAUUUUGGUACGAUCACAUUACCUUGGCGUUCUUAUUUGCACCAUAUUGUAUUAAAGAUUUCACUAUACUUUGAUGCUUUUUCUGCACUGCUAAAUGUAAUGCAGUCAAUCCAUCAUAAUUCUUUAUUUCCAGAUCUAAAUUCUUUGGUUUUGCAUGAAUUAUUUUAGUUAAACAUCUGUUAUCUCCGUUAGCUGCACAUAAAUGUAUUGCAGUUUGUCCAUUCCGAUCUUGUGCGUUGGGAUCUGCACCAGCAUCCAUGAGCUGUUCAACCACCACUGGUUGCUCGGUGAGAACUGCAAGAUGUAAUGCUGUCUGCAAAUAUAACAAUAUAUAUGGUUCACAUUCGAGAUCUUUAGACUUUAUAUUACUAUAGCACUGAUGAAGAAGCUUACAGAUCGAAAGCAAAGCUUUCAAGCUUCGUAAAAAUACCUAAAAAGAUGUAGAACUACAGAUAUGGACUUCGCCGACUUCACAAUAAGUUUAAAAUGCUGGUUACACUAUUCAAUGGUUAAAAUACAGUGCCAAAAAAUGAAAUACAGUGCAAAUUUCUUAAUUUUUAUUUUUCAACUUUCUUAAUUUUCUUAAGUUCUAAAUGUGAC